GAAAUGCGAUACGUAAUGCGAAUUGCAGAAUUCAGUGAAUCAUCAAAUCUUUGAACGCAAAUGGCACUGAUCGGAUAUGCCGGUCAGUACGUUUCUUUCAGUGUCGUUUCAACCACACUCAGCCUGCGUGCUUCAGUGCGCGUAGACUGGCACUUGAAUGUCACAGUCCUUUGGAUUGUGUCGUUUUAAAUAUCGCGGAACGAACUGUGCUUGAUUGCACACUGUGUCAAUUACUUGACAGUGACGUGGAUACUUUCGCUCUGUCGAAUCUUUACGUGACUGCCUAAGGAACGAUUCAGUGCGGCCUUGCGCAAUUGAUUCGGACCGAAGUCUGUGUUUGUCCUUUUCUAAACAAAAAGGGUGAAUGCUAAAUACUUCUUCGAUUAAGACCUGAAAUGAAGCGAGAGUACCCGCCGAACUUAA
rnacentral:misc_RNA from 1 species